rnacentral:misc_RNA from 1 species
GAUGAAGAACGUAGCGAACUGCGAUAAGUAAUGUGAAUUGCAGAAUUCAGUGAAUCAUCGAGUCUUUGAACGCACAUUGCGCCCCCUGGCAUUCCGGGGGGCAUGCCUGUCCGAGCGUCAUUGCUGCCCUUCAAGCCCGGCUUGUGUGUUGGGUCGUCGUCCCCCCCGGGGGACGGGCCCGAAAGGCAGCGGCGGCACCGCGUCCGGUCCUCGGGCGUAUGGGGCUUUGUCACCCGCUCGAUUAGGGCCGGCCGGGCGCCAGCCGGCGUCUCCAACCUUCUAUUUUACCAGGUUGACCUCGGAUCAGGUAGGGAUACCCGCUGAACUUAAGCAUAUCAAUAAGCGGAGGA